rnacentral:rRNA from 1 species
AUUGAACGCUGGCGGCAGGCCUAACACAUGCAAGUCGAACGCGUCGCGGACGGGUGAGUAAUGUCUGGGAAACUGCCCGAUGGAGGGGGAUAACCUCUGGAAACGGUAGCUUAUACCGCAUCCCUUCGUAUGUGCCCAGCGGGGUUUCGCUAGUAGGUGGGUGAACGGCUCACCUCGGCGACUCUCCCUCGCGGGUCUGAGAGGAUGACCAGCCAACCUGGAACUGAGCACGGGUCCGGACCCCUACGGGGGGCAGCGGGGGGGAAUAUUGCCAAAGGGGCGCAAGCCUGAUGAAGCAAUGCGGCGGGUAUGAAGAAGGCCUUCGGGUUGUAAAGUACUUUCAGCGAGGAGGCGUUACUCGCAGAAGAAGCACCGGCUAACUCCGUGCCAGCAGCCGCGGUAAUUC